CCUACGGGUGGCAGCAGUGGGGAAUAUUGCACAAUGGGGGAAACCCUGAUGCAGCGACGCCGCGUGAGUGAAGAAGUAAUUCUUUAUGUAAAGCUCUAUCAGCAGGGAAGAAAAUUACGGUACCUGCGUCAUACUCCCCGGCUAACUACGUGCCAGCAGCCGCGGUACUACGUCGGGGGCCAGCGUUAUCCGGAUUUCCUGGGUGUAAAGGGAGCGUAGACGGCAGUGCAAGUCUGGAGUGAAAGGCGGGGGCUCAACCCACGGACUGCUCUGGAAACUGUACGGCUGGAGUGCAGGAGAGGUAAGUGGAAGUCCUAGUGUAGCGGUGAAAUGCGUAGAUAUUAGGAGGAACACCAGUGGUGAAGGCGGCUUACUGGACUGUAACUGACGUUGAGGCUCGAAAGCGUGGGGAGCAAACAGGAUUAGAUACCCCAGUAGUC
rnacentral:rRNA from 1 species